UUUCCAGCAGCCGCGGUAAUACGUAGGUGACUAGCGUUGUCCGGAUUUACUGGGCGUAAAGAGCGCGCAGGCGGUCGUUCAAGUCGAGUGUGAAAGCCCCCGGCUCAACUGGGGAGGGUCAUUCGAUACUGAUCGACUCGAAGGCAGGAGAGGGAAGUGGAAUUCCCGGUGUAGUGGUGAAAUGCGUAGAUAUCGGGAGGAACACCAGUGGCGAAGGCGACUUCCUGGCCUGUUCUUGACGCUGAGGCGCGAAAGCUAGGGGAGCAAACGGGAUUAGAAACCCGCGUAGUCC
rnacentral:rRNA from 1 species